UACAUGAAAUAGUGCAGAAGCAGCAUUACAUCCAUGCAGAAGCAAUAAGAGCGACUGUGACCGGAGUGGCUUGGUUAGUGUGCUUAAAGCCAUUCUCCAAAGCAGCUAUGCAUCGAAAGUUCCGAUGCUUAAACAUACUUUAUAUGGUAUUGUUGCUGGCUCUAUUGCUAAUCGCAAAUGUUCUAUGUCAAGCGGGAGGUCGUGUUCACAAAAAGAAGGCAAGUAUGCAAGAUGACUCUCUCUAUGAAUCCGACUUUAUGACGAGCGCUGCAGUCCAAUAAAGGAGUGCAAGUUUGGAAUGUGCUGCCGAAAACAUCGCCGAAUAGCAACUUGUCAUCCAAAAGCACGGUAUGGCAAAGCCUGCUCAACUGAUACAGUGAAGGGAAUCUAUAAGGAACACUGCGAUUGUGCCUACGGUCAAGGGAUUUGCGUCAACGGCAUAUGCAUAUAAGAAAGUGUGAGACACUAUGUUAUUCCAUACAAUUUUUUCUUUCAAAAGCUAGUAAAUGGUAAUCUAGAA